CAACCCUCGAGCAACCCGCUCGGCGUUGGGGACCUACGGCGCACUGCCGUAGCCCCCUAAAACCACCGGCGACGCCGCCGCGGCUUCUUUGCGUAGUAACACAACCUCGCACUGGAACGCUGCCGUGCCUGCCGCUAAAACCGCCCUACGGCACUAUAA
rnacentral:misc_RNA from 1 species